AGCCUGAUGCAGCGACGCCGCGUGAGGGACGAAGGCCUUCGGGUUGUAAACCUCUUUCAGCAGGGAAGAAGCGAAAGUGACGGUACCUGCAGAAGAAGCGCCGGCUAACUACGUGCCAGCAGCCGCGGUAAUACGUAGGGCGCAAGCGUUAUCCGGAAUUAUUGGGCGUAAAGAGCUCGUAGGCGGUUUGUCGCGUCUGCUGUGAAAGCCCGGGGCUCAACCCCGGGUCUGCAGUGGGUACGGGCAGACUAGAGUGCAGUAGGGGAGACUGGAAUUCCUGGUGUAGCGGUGAAAUGCGCAGAUAUCAGGAGGAACACCGAUGGCGAAGGCAGGUCUCUGGGCUGUAACUGACGCUGAGGAGCGAAAGCAUGGGGAGCGAACAGGAUUAGAUACCCUGGUAGUCCAUGCCGUAAACGUUGGGCACUAGGUGUGGGGGACAUUCCACGUUUUCCGCGCCGUAGCUAACGCAUUAAGUGC
rnacentral:rRNA from 1 species